CGACCGGGUUGGACAGCCGCGGAUGCAAGCCGAAAGGCUGCAGAUGAGGAAAGUCCGGGCUUCACAGGGCAAGGAUAACGGGUAACGCCCGCCGGGGGUGACCCCAGGACAAGUGCAACAGAGAUAUACUACUUUCGAUUUCCGAAAGGAAAGGUGAAAAGGUGGGUUCAUAGCCCACCCGGCCCAUGGUAACAUGGGUUUUACGAUGUAAACUCUAUCCCGAAGCAACGCCGUGGAGAAACACAUAGGUCUGCCCGACCGUUUCGAGGAGGCGGCUUGAUCUUACGAGCAAUCGUAAGGCUAGAUAGAUGGCUGUCAAGACAGAACCCGGCUUAUAGACCCAUGUCGCAAC
rnacentral:RNase_P_RNA from 1 species